GAUGAACGCUGGCGGCGUGCCUAAUACAUGCAAGUCGAGCGAACAGACGAGGAGCUUGCUCCUCUGACGUUAGCGGCGGACGGGUGAGUAACACGUGGAUAACCUACCUAUAAGACUGGGAUAACUUCGGGAAACCGGAGCUAAUACCGGAUAAUAUAUUGAACCGCAUGGUUCAAUAGUGAAAGACGGUUUUGCUGUCACUUAUAGAUGGAUCCGCGCCGCAUUAGCUAGUUGGUAAGGUAACGGCUUACCAAGGCAACGAUGCGUAGCCGACCUGAGAGGGUGAUCGGCCACACUGGAACUGAGAACCGGUCCAGACUCCUACGGGAGGCAGCAGUGGGGAAUCUUCCGCAAUGGGCGAAAGCCUGACGGAGCAACGCCGCGUGAGUGAUGAAGGUCUUCGGAUCGUAAAACUCUGUUAUUAGGGAAGAACAAAUGUGUAAGUAACUAUGCACGUCUUGACGGUACCUAAUCAGAAAGCCACGGCUAACUACGU
rnacentral:rRNA from 1 species